GAAGGAGAGAAUCUCACUGGAGCUAGUGCUGGAACAUCUGAAAAUGAAAAUGCUGGAUCACAACAGACUCAUAAACAAGGUGAGAAUGCUAAAAGGUCCUCUUCUAAUGUUAAUGAAAAAGAGAAAAACAAGAAAAGAAAAAAAAAAAUAGCAGAAGAUGAUAAUAAGACAUUUCUGAAAGGUAUGAUGGAAGUUCUAAAAAAUUUUACUGAAAGUCAAAACAAAAGAAUAGGUGCCUUGAUUGAAAAGCUUGGAGAGCGUGACCGAUCCGACGUUUGUGGUCAAAUUUAUUCCAUCCUUAAAUCCCCUGUAUUUUUGGAGUUGUACACUGUAGAACAAUGCAUCAAAGCUGCAAUGGUUCUCUGUAAAGAUGAUAAAAAAAUGGAGUUAUUUUUAAGUAUGAGUGAAGAUGAGCGCGAUACAAUAAUGUGGAUGACUGUCCAUGAUGAACUUUGAAGUAUGGCAAACUUGUGGAUAUAAGUGACGGCACUAGUUUGAUCAUUUUUGCUUGGCCAAUAACUUUAAAGUUUGACAAUAGUGCCAUUUUUUUAUUGGGAUAAUACUCACGAAAAUAUCUGAACUUUGAUCAGAUUUUCAGUUGAGCAUACUGAACUUUGCGGGAGGCCUAUUACCCCCUGGACUUUUUUAAAGUGGAAUUAAUCCCCACCCAAAACGCUAUACCCAAUUUUGAAGUAGAAACUGAAUUACACGCACCAAUGACAUAUUGACACGUAUAUUUUUUAUUUAAAAUUAAUUUUUAUUUAAUUUCUUUUCCAUUCUCCAUUCUUAUUUUCUUCUCCAUUUUUAUUCAUCUAAAUCCUCAAAAAAUUAGCAAUAUUUUGAUCACAUAUGUGCUAUCUGCCCAUCUUCAUCAAUAACUCAAACAAGAAUGACUCAAAAACAAGAUCAAAAUUUUCAACAAGGAAAGUGUAGAUUUUUUUUUUUAAGAUAAAGCAAAACAACUUAGAUUUAUGACAAAAUAUCCAAAAUGUAACAAAUACUAAAUAAGAAUUCAAAAUUGAAGUAGCAAAAGACAUUUCAGUAGCAGCACAAAGCCAAUAAUAGGCUAAAGCAUUGGCAUCCAACAUUUCAAAACAACACCAUUACAACCAGAACAUUGGUAUCCAACAUCCCAACACAACCAAAAACUCAGAAACUUCCUAUUGUCAACUACAAGAAACUUCAAAAUGCAUCAUUCUAAAAAAAGAAUAAAAAACUCAUAAUUUGAGAAAAUCAUCUUCACGGUUUUUUUGAGAAUUUGAAAUUUCAAUUACUAUCAAGAUUGUGCCGACAAAUUCUCUUCUGACGUCAAUAGUGGGUUAGUUGAUGAUGACAAUGAUGAUUUAAUUUUGCUAUUUUGAUAGAAUUGAAGAAAACUCAUUUGGUGUGUGUAUUGAAAUUGGGUCAAAUUGAUGUAAUUGAAUUGAGUGUGUUGAAGAUAACUUAUUUGGUGUGUGUGUGAGAUGAAAUUGUAUUCAAUUCAAUUCCAAGUCAACAAUGGAACACCAAUGGAGCACCAUUGAAGAUUGAAGAGAAGAAAGAAAGAAAGAAGAAAGAAGAGGAAGAAACUAUAAAUGAAAAAAUAAAUUAAAAAAGAUUCAAUUUAUAAAAAUUAGAAAAUUGAGGGGCAGUUUGACCCAAAAAAAAAGUUUUGUAACGAUUUUUUAAUAAUUGGGCGCGUGAAUUACACGCAACGAUCCAAGUGGGCUAAUAUAUGUCAUUAAAAUACAAAAAAAAAAAAGUCUAGGGGGUAAUAGGAUCCCCUCAAAGUUCAGUAUGCUGAACUGAAAAUUCAGUCAAAAUUCAGGUAUUUUAGUGAGUAUUAUCCCCUUUUUUAUUCCUCUAGUUAUUUCUAUGGGCAUAAGGAUGUUAAAUUUUUGUGUAUAACUAAUGUUUGUUAAAUAUCUCAAUGCUAGAACAAAUGUUAAGUGCAUUUGUAAUUUUAUAGCUGCUACGACAGUUAUUCAAGUUCUCUUUAUGAUCGUUUAAUUUUGAGAUUCUAUGAUGCAAUUCGAUAGCUUCUAUGAUGGUUAGCGGGGAAGUAUAACCAUUGAAACAUCAUAUUCAGACAUCCUCUUAGAUGUGCUGGUGCCAUGUUUGAUAAAUAUAAUGGAACUGCCUUCAAGUAGUGAGGGGUUUACUGAUGGAGUUCUUAUAUUGUUCUGGCUUUUGUCUAGUUCCCUGAUUACUAUUGUAUUCAUGGUUGAUCCUUGGUAGGGGUGUUCAUGGUUUGAUUUUUAACCAAACCGAACCGCGAUCCAAACCAAACCGAUUAAAAAAAAUCGAUAUUUGGUUAGGUUUGGUUUGGUUUUGAAUUUUAAAAAUCGAUAAUAAUUUGGUUUAGUUUGGUUUUACUCUAAAAUAACCGACAAAAUAACCAAACCGAACCGAUAUAUAUACAUACAUACAUAUAUAUAUAUAUAUAUAUUAUAAUUAUUCAUGUAUUAUUCAUAAAUACAACAUAAAUAUUUGUUACAUUUUAUAUUUUAAUCAUAAUUUAACUUUAGUAGUAACACAUUAAGUCGUGUCUUCAUCUAGUUGAUAAUACCUUAUGAGAUUCUAAAUGAAUUUCGUACUUUGAAUUGUGAAAACAAUUCUAAAUGAAUUUCGUACUUUGAAUUGUGAAAAUAAUAUCUUGUUGUAUAUUAAAAUUUAUUGUUGAGAUUCAUUUGACUAUAGACAAUCACUAAUUUUAACUUUCUUUUUGAACCUUGUUAAGCAAGAAGUUUAUGUGUUCACCUUUUGGAGAGUUUAUCAUAUCAUUCUAUCAAAUGUAGUUUUAAAAUAUUUUUUAGAAGCGUUCAUAUGUGUUGUUCAUAGCUUUGCCGAAGUAUAACACUUAGUUGACAUCUUAGUUUCAAGGUUGAGAUACAACACUCGGUUAACAUCUCAUAUAUUAGAUUGAAUUUUUUUUUUUAAAUCUUCAACUUUUAUCAUUAGCUAAAGUUAUAAACCGAAAAAAACGAACCAAACCGAACUAAACCAACAAGAACCAAACCGACGGUUAUUUUUUUGUUUGGUUUGAUUUGGUUUUAGAAAUUUAUAAACCGACUAAGUCAGUUUGGUUAUGGUUUUGACCAAUAACCGAUCCAAACCGACCCAUGAACACCCCUAAUCCUUGGUUUAUGAUAUAUCAAUGUGCUCACACAUUGUUCCACUGGUAAUAACACACCAUUACCAUUUGUGUAACAUUUCUACCCGAACUUGGUUGGAAUUUAAAGGCGAAGUAUGUUGUUCAUAUACAUUGUUAUCUCUCUACAUCUGUCAGUGUUUAGUUGAAAUCAUUAAAGGGAAGUCCAUUGCCCCUAUUACAAAAAGUCAUGUAUUGGCAUCUUUCUACCUGAACUUGUACUCCCCGGUGAAACUGUGAAAAUACAAGUGAAUCAGUUCCUGCAAGAAUAUUUGGGAUAUGAUCAUGACUUUCUUGUAGCUGUGGUUUUUGCCCAUGUUGGUUGGGUUCUUCUAUUUUUCUUUGUUUUUGCUUAUGGAAUCAGGUUCUUGAACCACCAAACAAGGUAGAAAGGGGGAGAAUUUUCUCUAAAUAUCCUAAAGUUUCGUUUAGUUACUAAGGCAUUUGUUUAUUCCUUGAGCUGAGUGUCUAUCGGACUCUCUAUCGUCCAAGGUAGUAGUAAGGUCUGCAUAUACACUAUCCUCGUCAGACCCUACGUGUGGAAUUACAUUACGUAUGAAGAAAUUUGACUCGAAUCACACUAUCCAUGAAAUCUGCUCUUGGACGAGAUUACAACCUGGUUUUCUGAAUCGGCAAAUAAUAACCUUGCUCUCGUCCUUGGACGUUAAGGAUGAAAUAUUUUGGGAAAUGCAGAAAGAAAUGCAUUGGACUCUCAUCUUUGUGCACCGUCAUUGCUACCUGCAUACAUAACUGUUCUAACAAAAUGAUCACACAGGCAUUAAUCAAAAGCUACAAGGAGAUGAAAUAUCGCUGUAUUGAGCACGUUUAUGUUUUUAUUCGAUGUGACCCUUGCACGCGGCUUGUCCAACCUGUCCAACAGGAGCGAAAAGGAAGGUAGUGGUGGGAGGAUUUCAAGGCUGAGUAUGGCUCACGUAAGGGCAACAUCUAGGAUGAAAGCCUGAUUGGAAAUGGAAAUAUCACUGACCAUGCUAAUGGUAAUGCUUCUUUUUCUGAUAUUUUCGACAUCCAGGACAUUGUAAGCUUGAGUAAGCCUGGAAUUCAGAACCUACCGAAGUUGAAAAAUCGAAGUGAGCCUUGGCUUGUUGUUCUUUAUGCACCUUGGUGCUGCUUUUGCCAUGUAAUUUAUCUUCUCAUCAAUAAUUUUUCUUUCUCCACUGAAACUUAUCCAAGAUUCGAAUUUGAUUAGUUCAACGUUUAAGGUUCUCACCACUGGAUUCAUCUGAGCCAUUGCAUAUAUGUUGCAUUCGCUUCUACUUCAUAGCCGAAUGGUAUUUAGGGAUUAUCUUGAUGAUCUUGUUUCUGAUUUUGUACAGGCAAUGGAAGCUUGGCGAGUUAUGGCAUGAAAGUAGCGAAAUAAAGGGCAGGUGGUGAGCAGAAAGCAUUUUCCCAACAACAAUUCCAGGUUGCAAGCUUCCCUGCAAUACUUUUCUUCUCUAGACAUUCUUCACAACCCAUUAAGCUGUGUUGCUCGGACUCUUCAAUAGUGUCAAUGGAUGUGUGUCGGAUUCACCAAAACUAGUGUAUUUUUGGAGAACUCGAACGAUUACGGCAUCAAAAGUGAAGAGUUCACAAAACUUAGCCAUUAAGUAUCCGUCGGAGAAGAGGGAUGUAGAUUCCAUGCUGGCUUUUGUGAAUGCUCUCAGGUAAAAGACUGUUUUUACAUAUCUUGUUUCGAGGCUAUUCAGCAAUACCAAAAGUUGCACGCAAGCUGAUUUAGAUGCAACGGGUUAUCAAGAAAAAAUGGACUUCUGGUUGUCAGAAGUUAGGUAGUAAAGUAUAUUGUCCUCUUUUUUCUUUUUCCUUUUUAUAUCCAUCUUUGAUCAUGACUUGAUUCUAGGAAUUUUGUUGUUUGAAUCAAUAUAAAGGGGCUUUUUUUUUGAGCGGCCUCUUGAAAAAAUAUAGGGUAAGAAUGCAUACAAUAGACCCUUAUGGUUCGGGUAUAUUAUGAAGCCCGUACAUACCCAGAAGCUUAGUACACUAGGCUACCCUUUAGUUUGUUUUGGUUGCUUCUUGAUUAUGCAAAAUCUUGGAUAUUUUUUGGCUAUGGCUACCUCGUUAUGACUUCACUUCAGUCACUAGCCCUGCCUUUGGCAACCCCACCUCGCAGUUAAGGUAAUGGAUUCUUAUAAAGAGGAUGUUGUUUGAUAAACUUAUAUGAUCCGAGAAGAAAUUCUCUACAUUAUUAUGCACAGUAAGUUAACAUUGUAUCCAAGUCCUCAAAUUUGUUCUUAUAUAUGUUGGAUUAUAUUCUUGGACAUCUAAUUGGAACUUGCUUGCUCUAGAAACUUUGACAUGUUAAUACCAAGUCUCAUUAAUCAUAAAAGUUCAAAGUAGUUAGAAUGAUUGUUUCAGUAUUUAAAUUCUUACUUCGUGUAAUUUUUACUUAGAAACAAGGAUUUGUUCGAGCUUUGUUGCUUCAUGUUGUGCGGCCUAACAGGCACAUACGCUUCACCUGCGCACUAGCUCAUACUGCAAGAGAAGAUCUUCUCUCGGCGACUAUUGAAAAAUUAAUGAUCCAAGCGAGAGUAAAAUGUUGUUGUUCUCUAGAUAGGUGAUUAAUAGGGGUGUACAUAGGUCGGGUUGGUUUGUUUUUUAUUUAAAAAAAAAAAAUCAAUUAUGUCGGUUUACUAAAACUAUAAAUCAAAUCAAACCAACAUAAAAUUGAUUUUUUCGGUUUAGGUUUUAGUCGAUUUUUUCGGGUUUUUCGUUUUUUUUAUUUUUUUUUUAUUUUUUUUUUAAUAAUCUUUAGUUUUUACAAUUAUAUUGUGAUCGAAUACUAGAUCAAAUAUGUUUUCACUCACGUGCUAAUGAAAAACCAUAAUUAUGAAAAAAUGAGGAGCGAAAAACUCUCUUGAAACUAAAAAGUGAGAUGAAGAGUGAAAAGUUUAGUUUUAAGUUUAUAUUGGGUUUUGGUAGGGCUGUUCAAAACCGAACUGUAUUCGAUAAGCCAUCCGUAAAAUUAACUUAUUGGCUUAUUGGUAUUGGCUUAUCGGAUAAAUGGUUGGUGAACGGAUUAAAUUUUUUUAAUUAACGGCUUAUUGGUGAGGGGGUGAAUUACACAAUUUUCUUAUUGGAUAAAUCGUUAACCCGUUAAGAAUUACCAUAUAUACUUAUAUUUUUCACCUAGAUAUAUAAAAUAUAUAUUAUAUUAUAUUAUAGUAAAAUUUAAACUCAAACCUAAUGGAACUAAAUUCUAACCUAAAGUCCAUCCCUAAUUAACCCUAAACAUUAAAGUACGUACUAACUAGUAACUACUAAAGUUAUUAUUUAUUCAAGUACAAAAGAUCAAAACUCAUAACCUGUUCAUUGCUUUGGUUUGCUUUGCCGAUUCAAAUCAAAAGUACUCAACAGUAGCCAAAGCUUUAAAGAGAUUUAGCACUAGUAUUUCUGUUGUCAGUGUCAUUGUGAAAAGAAAAGAAUGUUAUAUUCUGUUUUGUUUUCUGGUUUUGAGACGCAUUCAAGCAGAAAUUGUGGAUGUCCGAUAAACCGUCCGAUAACCACCCGAUAAUUGUUUAUCCCUUACCAAACCAACCGAUAUCUUAUCGGUUGGCUAGUGGAUUUGUAUAUUUUAUAAUCGAUAACCGUUAAGUCAAACCGUUAAGUGUAAUGGUCCAUCCGAUCCAUUCGAUAAGCAGACCUAGGUUUUGGAUCAUUUAAUUAAUAAUUAAUGGACAAAUAUUACAAUUUAAAGGCCCAAAUUUAAAUAUAUAUCUACAUCUACUUUCAAAUUAUUGAAAAUUACCAAAACUAGUUGAAAAAGUAUUUAAAAAAUAGAUUAUAAUUAAUAUUUUAUGUAUAAAUAGUUCGAAUAUAUAUAUAUAUAUAUAUAUUAUGUCGGUUUGAUUCGGAUUCGAUUUGACUUUUUUUUUGUUAACAUCAAACCAAAUCAAGAAUGGUCGGGUUUUUUUUUCUAACACCAAACCAAUCAAAUCAAACCAUAAGUUAGUUUUUUUUCUCGGUUUGAUUUGGUUCGUCAAUUCGGUUUGACUUGACGGUUUAGUCUGUACACCCCUAGUGAUCACAGUAACAUAUUAGACAGUUGUAUGUCAUGCAAAAAUUCUGCUUGCUGCCUCUUUGUAUGCUGUUUUUCGUUAAGACCUUCGGAUAUGUAAGAUUUUAGGGGAUGAUGACGAUAUCUAAUUUAUCUAAAUUUAAUUCCUGCUUUGAGUUACUGAUUAUUUAUAGAAGGUGUUCAAUGGGUUGAAUAAUGUGUAAUCUUUGCGUUAUUUGGUGUACUGAAUUUUGAGGUUUUUUUCAAGCUGAGAUUUCGAUGAUUGCUUUGAACCUCACAAUGGUACUUGCACAAUUUUAUUUUUCUGUACACUCUGGCUUCUGAGAUUAUGGCUUCAACUUACAAUUACUCGAUUCUGAUAGGUUUUGGGCACUCCACAUAAGCUUAAUGUUGUGCUUAGAGUUGACCUGUUUAGCUGUGUUUUUCUGGUCAACUAUGACUUCGAAUUCUUCCUCUUUCCGGCCACAAUUUCGUUAAUUUCUUUUCUAACAUUUUUGAAUUCAGAGAAAAGUGGAAAAUUGAAUUUUCUACUGUAUAGCUGCUGCAGUUCCAUGUAUUUCUGGAAAACAGAUGGUACAAGGGUGGGUUUAAGGAAAGGGUAAUUUAGUAGACAAAUAUUUUUUUACAAAAUUUAUAUAAAUAUAAAUUAUCUUUUAAUACAUCAAGUCAAACAUAACUAAUACUAACAUUACUAAUACUUAUAUUAAUAAUAUAAACAUUACAAAUACACCCUAUUUAAUAUUUAAUAUUAUUCUUAUACACUCUCCCAAACGACCCCGAGAAAACAACAUAUCACGUUUGCAAAUAGCCUCUCUUGAAACAAAGGGGUACUCUACAGAUUAAAGGGGGCGAAAAUAUAUAAUUUCCAGCGAACGAACAACACCAUCACGAUCAAACGUGCAUCAUACACCUUCAAAUCCAUUUUUCGGCACGAACGACAACUCAAGCUAGACGGAAAAUUAUAUACAGGAAUCCAUCUUCCAAAAUCAAUUAGGAUUUAAUUGGAACUUAACUGCAAACCCAUUUUAGAACCAAAAUCAUCUUUAUGCUCUAAGGUGAAACGUCCAUAACAAAUUUUCUGAAUGAAUCAUAAUUGCACGUUCAUAGAUCGAUGAGAUAAAAAUACAUAUAUGAAACAGACGAAGAACAAAAUCAAAAGGAGAAAAUCGCACCUUUUUCGGUGUAGCCAACUCGGGCUUCCGGUUAAGGAUUUUUCGGUGACAAACUCAACUCUGGGACUCGCAAUUCCUCCAUGGACCAAAAAAUGGAGAAAGAGAAAAAAGACAGUGAAUCCCAGCAACUUCAAUGCCUCCCUUUUUUAGCUUUCCCAACCCAUUUUUUCUCCAAUCUCGGCCCUUUUCCGGCCUUCUUUUACUCGAUUUCCUCCGCCUCUCCUCACGAGAUUUCUUUUUUUUUUCUUCAGACCCCUUUUUUGAUUCCCAAGAAAAAACCCGACCUCUGUUCAUACGAAUUGAACAAUGCGACCAUUUAUAGGUAAAUCUAGACUUGAAAGUCCGGAUUUGAAACUACAAAUUCAAAGAAACCAAUGGGCGAAUCGGGAAAUUAGAAUUCAAAAUUGGAAAGGGACAGAUCCUUCCUCAAUUUGGACGAUUUCCAGAACCUUAAUGCAGAUUUGAAUCAAAUUUUCCUUGUAUCACUAAUUUGGGGCUGACUUUUAUCUGAUUUUCGGACUCACAGGUUGGACUUGGCUGAGAAGGGGCGAAUAUUGUGCAGCGAUGGCAGGGUUGCGACAGCUAUUGCCGCUAGCCUCUCUGAUUUGGAUGAGAGAGAGGAGGUGGGAAGAGAAAGGGGAGCAUUGUUGUCGCUGAUUUUAGGUAUCUGGAUAGAGACCCUUCGACUAUUUUCCGGGGAGGCGAGAAUACGCGUGAACCAAAUAUUGGGAGUGACAAAGAGCACCUGUUUAUUUUGACUGAAAUGUGGAUCAGGUUUAAUAUAAGAAUAAAGAAAAAUUAAAGAGAAAAAGCUUUUUUUC
rnacentral:lncRNA from 1 species